CCCGGAGUCGGUGGGGUCCAGGCAGGGUUUUUCCCUCCCUUCUCCAGCCGUCGGGGUCGCGCCAGACUGGGGAAGAGCCGCGCCUGGGGCUGGGGGCAGGACGGCAGGGCCAGAAGGACACGUGAAACGGAAGGGGGCUGCAUGGCCCCGGGGAAGAAGGGCAGGAAAGCGGUUCUGGGAGGGCAGAGCCUGGGCCUCCAGAGGCAGUAGAAGGGCGGGCGCCCUGGCACCAGCCCUUAGGUACAAAGAGACGAGAGGCGCCCAGUGCCUCGGGCCCGCCCCGUCCCCCAACUCUGGGGGUCGCCUCCGGAGCCUUGCUGGACCCAGCCUGAAUCUGUGGACACCCGGAAUGCCAUUCUCCAGUCUCGACAGCCCCGGAACCUCCUGUUUGUUCCUCAGUGACCCUCCCCACCCCCCAACCACCACCACGUUUCUCUUCUGGUCCAUACAGCUUCCUUCCUGGCUCAGAAGUCGGAGGGGGGAACCCCGACUUGAAAUUCCCGCCUCCCCUCUAACUCCUGGCCCUCACCGCGCCAAACCACUGAGAUGCGGCAGCCGAGAAACGCUGACUGCAGACUGGGGGCUGCUCCCCUCCCACGAAACUCCCGGCUGGGUCCGGGGCCCCGCUGCCACCCCCGCCCCGCCGCCCGCGCCGGACUGGCACCGGGAACCCGAGGGCAGGUGUGCGGCCUGCAGGGGACCUCCUGGAGAGACGGGGGCCGGGGCGGGGGGCGGGGGCAUCCCAGAUCCGCACGUACAGACUUAAAUCUCAGGCGACCAGCUAGACCUUAGUUGAGAGGAGAAAGUGGCAGGAGUUAAUCCCUCCUCGGGAGGACUGUGUACCUGGGGCUGGGGACAGCGAUUCUGAGUGACAGCCAGGUGCCCGGACUGGCUGGGCCACGUGCGCUCCGGGGCAGCUGCGGGAGAGUUAGAUGCUUGCCGCGCGUGGAGGGAGAGGGCUUCUGGCGGAAGAAAGGCACGGCUCUGUGUGGGCGGGGUCCUGAAUGAGUGGGUCUGGGGGCCUGUUUUGGAAGGGGGAGGGCUGAGCUGGAAGCGGAGCGACAGCCUGCGCUGGGCGCCCACCUCUUCCCCGCCCUCCCUCCCUUCCCCGGGCUGCCCCCGCUUCCCUCGAAAAACCCGCCGCCCAGGAAACCGCUGGGGGCGCACAGACCGCAGCCCCCCCGCCCGCCGCCCCCCGGCGCCCCCACCGCGACCGCCCAACCCACCUGAAGGGGCCGUGGCUGCCAGGGUUGCCCCCUCCCGCCGACUCCCCCCACACCUGCGGGCGCACUAUUUAUAACUCGGCGCCUAUUCCGGGCCUCUGGGCGGGAGCCGGCUGCGCCUCAGCGCUAAUCGUCUCCGGGAUCUCUGCGCCCCCCAGGGCCGGGGGGGAUAAAUUUAGCCUCAGGAAGCUCGGGGAACAUUUUCCAAAACUCCACGUCCCGCAGAAGGCGAAACAGAACCCCUCUGCCCUCAGCCUCCCUCCCGCCAACCGGCAGGCGGCGCAGGUGUCUCGGCUGCUCGUACCCAGCUGGGAUCGAGGGGUGGGUGGCGGCCGAGAAGCUGGCACAGGUGAAGGACGGAAGGUCCUGGGGGCGGCGGCCAGAGGGGCGGGAGGACGGCCGGAAGAACGGCCAAAGGCCGGAGUAAAAAGUCUCGGCUGGCAGUGACUGAGAAAGGGGUUGGGGACUUCUGCCUUUCGAAGGGGAAAUAACUCCUGUGCAAACGAGAUGCAAGUAGGGACUCCGGGAAGAUCGGGGAGAUGGUGGUGGCCUUGGGGGUCCACGCUCCGGCGUGGGGGCAGCGACUGCCACACCCCUCUUCCCAAGCGCUUCUGAGCGUUGCUGCGAGAACUCAGGACCCCACCGAGAUCUUUACUAUAAUAGCCAGAUGAGUGCGGGCGGCUCCUCCGACCACUUCGCCAGGACCCCUCUCCUCCACCUGCCUCUCGCACACCAUGGAGGGUCUUCUAUCGACGCCUGAAGGUCGCCAAGCUACCUGGAUAAAGACUACCUUGAGCGGGAGUACUAUGGAGAACCACGCUGCCGCAGGAAAGAGGGAGCAGGCUCCGUGUGUGCCCCCUGCGGAGUCCCUGCCUCGUCGGAGGGGAAAAACCAGGGGGCAGCGCCGUGUGGAGACCAUGUUAGCAACUCCGAGAAUUCCUCCGGGCUCAGGGUGCCUGGCUGGCUCAGUCCGCAGAGUGCAUGAUUCUCGGUCUCGGGGUUGUGAGUUCGAGCCCCAUGUUGGGGCCAGAUAUUACUGAAAAAUAGAAAAACUCUUUAAAAAAAAAAAAAAAAAAAGGAAUGUGUAUGCGCGCAGGCCAGCCCUUCUCUCCACUGCUCUUGCUAUUAAGCCUGCCCUGAGCCACUGGCACGUCACGACCUGCCUCACACCCACCCCAGCUCAUAGCCCGCAUCUUCUAAUCACAGCUAUGUUCCCAUUGUUUUGUUUACAUUUUAUUUCCUGUCUCUGCCCACUGGAACGGAAGCUCCGUGAGUCCUGGGGCCUGUUUUGCUCACCGCGGUGGUGCCGGGAGCACAGGGAUUGGCACACAGCGGGUGCUCCCUAACAUUUGUUGCACGAACGAGGGAAGAGGAGGGCGAGGCGCGUGCAGCACUCCCUCCCGAAUGCCCUCCCAGGGGCUGCUGAAUCUGAGCCACCCCAGCGGGGAGAGUGGUCGUGGGGGGGGGGGGUCACUUCUCACCAGAACUGCUUACUCUAGGUAUGGGUCACCUUUACCAAGAGAGACAAAACACACCCAGAGGAAAAGGAGUUCACUAACAAGUCUGGGAAAAGCUGGUCCCUGGGGUGAGGAGAGAGUCCCACACACCGUCUCCAGGCUUGUGCCCCAGGACGGAAGGGAGGGGGCAACAACUGGCCCCAAGAGGCUCUGCGGUUGUGGGGGGCUGAGUGGGCGUGUCGGGAAGUGUGAGCAAGACGGUGUCAGUGGCUGACGCGUGGCCACUGCUGGGCGUGAUUCAGCGGCAGCGUGUGUUUCGGCUGCCGAGGGGAAGAGAGGGAGCGGUGCUCAUUCUGGCUGUUUGUGCUUGUGCACGGUGACAAGCCUGAGGAACCUGCGCGGCCACCCGGGUGCCUUUCUCUUCCAGCCUCAUGUGUGACCAGGGGGAGCGGGGCCCGACUUCCCGUGGGCUUGGGGCUAGCAAGGGCCCAGGGCUUCUCCCAAGAUCCUCAAGGCAGGGAGCUGGCCAGGCCACGUCUUCUAUUUGAGUUCCUGGCUUAAGGCGCGGGACCCCACCCAAGCCGGACCCCUCCCUACCCACCGGUUGGGAGGAACCUGGGCUUUCCACCCUCCACCCUCCCCAACCAGUGAGUCGGAAAACCUGGUUUUCGGUGUGGGUUGUAUCCAGGACAACCUCCUUCCCUCCCUUCUUUAAAAAUGAUUUUUUUGUAAUGUUUAUUUUUAGAGAGAGAGAGAGAGAGAGAGAGAGAGAGGCAGAGUGUGAGUGGGGGAGGGGCAGCAGAAUCCAAAGCCAGCUCCCAGCUGUUAGCACAGAGCCUGCCGAGGGUCUCGCACCCAUGAACCGCAAGAUCAUGACCUGAGUCGGACGCUCAACCGACCAGGCCGCCCCGGCGCCCAUCUCCUUCCCUCCCUGGUCUGAACGCUGGCUCUGGCUCCAAGACCCUUUCAGUGCUGAAUUGUUUGGAGUCCCUUUUAGACAUUUAGCACGUUUGGCCUCAAGGCCUAUUUAUUUUAUAUAGAACAUCUAUAUCCUUAUUUUUUGUUUACAUCUUAUUUCCUGCCUCUGCCCAGCAGAACGUAAGCUCUGUGAGUACAGGGGCCUGUUUUGUUCACUGAUGUGUUCGGAGCACCAGGAUUGGCACACAGCAGAUGGUAUAUGUAUAUACAUACAUACAUAUAUAUAUAUAUAUAUACAUAUACAUUUAUGCACACACAUGCACGCACACACAGUUUAGUGAUCCUUAGCCCACUCCUGGCACUGAGUACAGGAAAAUCAACCAUCUGGGCCAGUGGGCUCACGGUGCGGGUCCCGCGGCAGUCUUAUCCGGGUCCCGGCCAGCAGCCAGGCAGCUCCCGUGCACCUGCACCGGAGGUCCAGCAGAGGUGGGGGCGGGAACGGAGGCUGGCACAUGGCACAAACUCGAAGCAGGGUCCAUA